rnacentral:tmRNA from 1 species
GGGGGCGCAAUGGUUUCGACGGGGGCAAGUUGCUCCUGGGAAGCGAGUCGAAGGGAUCCUGUACCUGCGUUAAAAAACUGGGAACUUAAAUAUAAUUGCAAACGAUAAUUUUGCAUUAGCUGCCUAAUAGUUGCAGCUCGUCAGCCUAAGAGUCCCACGACUUAGGGUCUGGCGUCGACAGUGGGGAACCGAGCCUUACAAAGCUUUGAGUAAGGAACGGAAUUAAUGAAGCUACUGAAUCUAAGAGCCUGUUUAUUGGCGCUUAGAGGAGGGAAUGUAAAAGGAUAAACUGCACUCGGAGAUGCCCAGGGGUUGCUGCUUUCGGACAGGGGUUCGAUUCCCCUCGCCUCCACCA